rnacentral:rRNA from 1 species
GACGAACGCUGGCGGCAGGCCUAACACAUGCAAGUCGAGCGGACCUUUCGGGGUCAGCGGCGGACGGGUGAGUAACGCGUGGGAAUAUGCCCUUCUCUACGGAAUAGUCCUGGGAAACUGGGGGUAAUACCGUAUACGCCCUUUGGGGGAAAGAUUUAUCGGGGAAGGAUUAGCCCGCGUUGGAUUAGGUAGUUGGUGGGGUAAUGGCUUACCAAGCCGUGGAUCCAUAGCUGGUUUGAGAGGAUGAUCAGCCACACUGGGACUGAGACACGGCCCAGACUCCUACGGGAGGCAGCAGUGGGGAAUCUUAGACAAUGGGGGCAACCCUGAUCGAGCCAUGCCGCGUGAGUGAUGAAGGCCUUAGGGUUGUAAAGCUCUUUCAGCUGGGAAGAUAAUGACGGUACCAGCAGAAGAAGCCCCGGCUAACUCCGUG